ACCUGGCUGGCUCAGCUGGUAGAGCAUGCAACUCUUGAUCUCGAAGCUGUGAGUUCAAGUCCCAUGUUGGGUA
rfam:Canis lupus familiaris chromosome 2, whole genome shotgun sequence.